rnacentral:rRNA from 1 species
UACGUAGGGGGCAAGCGUUGUCCGGAUUUAUUGGGCGUAAAGAGCGUGGUAGGCGGCUUUACAGGUCCGUUGUGAAAACUCGAGGCUCAACCUCGAAGACCGCCGGUGGAAACCGUGAAAGCUAGAGUCCGGAAGAGGGAGAGUGGGAAUUCCUGGUGUAGCGGUGAAAUGCGCAGAUAUCAGGAGGAACACCCGUGGCGAAAGCGGCUCUCUGGGACGGUACUGACGCUGAGACGCGAAAGCGUGGGGAGCAAACAGG